UUGUCCUCUUUAAAUAGCUUUCAUUUCUCCAAUGCAAAGUACUUUGCUCUCAUUUCUUACUUAACAAGAGUAAUAUGAAAAUGCUUACAGGUGAAAUCCAGAAAAUUUCCAAAAAUGGAAACCAGCGAGGUCAUCUCAACUGACAAAGCUAAAUUUGUCAGAUUAAAGGUGACACAAGAAAAUGUAAUUUUUAUUGAUGGACAGGAGGCUGGAGGAAAAAAUCACAAUACAGUUCUUACAGGAUUCUUGAAAUUACAACCAAAGACAUUGGGGACUUUCCAGGUAAUGAAUGGAGUGUUGAUCUUCUUUCUUGGUAUUCUACUCACCAUCCAUAACUACAAUUACCCUGCUAUUCUUGCCCAUAGUGGCAUAACCUACUGGGGAUCCCUUAUUUACAUCAGUGCUGGAUCUCUGUCUUUUGCAGCUCAGAAUAAACUUCAUCCAUAUGUGAUGAAAGCAUCUUUUGGAAUGAAUGUGUUCAGUGCCAUAACUGCAGGCAUCACCAUUGUUCUGAUGUCCAUACAAUUAGGAUUAAUAAUGAUGAUGGAUCCAAGUUUAUAUGAUGAGUAUCUUAUUUUGCGGAUCGUCGGAAUAAUGCUGGUGUUCACCAUUCCUCAGUUCAUCAUCUCCAUCUGUAUCUCAGCAUUUGCCUGCAAAGCCACCUGCAACAGAGACUCUACAGUUGUCAAUGUUUUGUUAGACUAGGUAAAUGAUUUAGUGGUGGUUUUAGCCCAACAACCAAUAGCUAUUUGUGUUGAAGUCAAUGUUUUUAGGGAAUGACGCGAAUCCACUAAACGAUCCACAACCAAAUGUCAAGUUAGCAAAAUGAAAAGUAAAUAUAACGUGACCAGGAUGUUUCAUGGUAAACUGGCUUUAACAUUAGUGCACAUCAUACUGUAUAGGAACUAUAAGUCAAUCACAACAUGCUUUAUUGUUAUUCUCUUUAUCAAAGACAGUACAGCCUAUAAAAAUAGUCUGUGUGGUUCUUGUUAGCAGAACUAAAACUAAUAAUGAGUCUGAUUCUCUUGUGUACUAACAUUUUGGGCCCUAUCAUACACCCGGCGCAAUGCGUCGCCAGGCGUGACGCAAGUGUUUUUUGCUAGUUUCAGCCCGACACAGUUAUCAUUUUCCUGCACUACGUUGUUUAAAUAGCAAAUGCAUUUGCGCCCAUUUUGUGCACCAAUGGGUGUGCAGGUCUGUAAACUGAGGUGUGUUCAGGUGCAUUGUUGGCACGUUGCUAUUUUGAGGCAACUGAAAUAGACUGCGCCAUUGACCAACCAAAACCUGGUCUAAAGUCAAUGGCCCAAUACUUUUUUUGUUAUUUAAAGAGCGUGUUAAUAAUAUGCGCCUAUAGGCGGGUGCACAACGCACACACGUUCUGUUUAUUACAAACACAGGAAUGCGCAGCAGCACACAAACAUGCCAAAUAAUAAAAAUUAAAGGAUUACAAUGUAAAAGAUUAUUACUGUGUGCAUAAAGAUAAAAAUGCUUUGGUGGAAUUUGGCUUGUCCCGUAGAUGGUCUGCUCUUGCGCUUUAACCUCAUGCACGAGCAGAUGAGGUUGGGAAUGGGAGAUGAGACUUUACUGCACGUUACGUUACGCCCAAAACACACCCAUUACUCAUUAAAAGACUAGGGACAACCCUUUUAGACCAUGUGCCGGGCACGCUGACCAUUUUUCCUGUUGUUAAACCUGCAAAAGUGGAUUCGGACAUGCCCUAGGUGCACUUGCGCCAUGCGCUUUAGACCAUGUGCUUCGAUCUUUAAAAUAGGGCCCAUAGUAUCUGUUACUUCUCAGAGAUACUGAAUUACAGUGAGGAGAUCCUACCAGCCAAAGGUUGCGAGAAAAAAAUGUAUUAUUGCUCCUGAUUUUUUUAGUGUUAUGUUUGAUGUGGACCAAGAUUGUAUUUGUUAUCCAAGUUCCUGAAUUAGUAUAUUCUGGACUUGUAUGUUUUGUCUGUUGUAAUACAGUGCAACACACUUACACUGAAUUGAAUUUGAAGUAGAAAUUAAAUAUCUUCUCCCCAUCUAACCCUAACAAGAAACUUUUUUUUUGAGAUUUUGUCAGGUUUAACUCACUUCUGGGUACAAAUAUGGUUGAGUGGUACAAACACACACAAAUUUUGUAGUCGAAAGCCAAUAGUCAGACAAGGUAAAAACAUCUGUUAUCCAUACCAAGUCAACUAAGAAGAGUAACUAUAAGACCAAACUUCAGAAACUUCAAUGCAUUCAAAUGGACACACACACACACACAAUUCUGUUCUACAUCAUUACAGAGACCAGCAUACUGAUUAAUGUAAUUUGAGAACUCAGUGUACAUUAAAUGACUUAA